GGUGCCGCCCUGAGGAGGCGGGUCCGCCUCGCUUCGGCAGCUGCGCAGCGACUGCGCGGCCGGGGCCGCGCAGAGAGAAUUGGAGAAGAUGUGGGCAAAUUUCGGAGAACCGCUAGAGGCCAGUAGAAGCCUGGAAUGCCGAACCCAGGGACGGUGUAAUCGGAGAGAGCCGUUCGGGAUGUCGACUGCAACCCUUACCAGAAUUGGGAUUUAUGCUAAGGAUGCCUCUGAAAAAUGGGGACUUGAGCACUAGAAGAAAACAGUGUGUUCAGGUUAUCGAAUUCAAAGCUCAAUGAAGUUUCUGUUUUGUAAAUGCACCCGGCCUGGAGUAAAUUCUUAACUGAAAAAUAGCAGCAACUCAAAAGUGCAUAAAUUACAAACUUCAUGAAUAAAUUAAGGAAAUGGAUUUGCUUCA
rnacentral:lncRNA from 1 species